rnacentral:rRNA from 1 species
CCUACGGGCGGCAGCAGUGGGGAAUAUUGGACAAUGGGGGGAACCCUGAUCCAGCCAUGCCGCGUGUGUGAAGAAGGCCCUCGGGGGGUAAAGCACUUUCAGUGAGGAAGAACGCCUGGUGGUUAAUACCCAUCAGGAAAGACAUCACUCAUAGAAGAAGCACCGGCUAACUCCGUGCCAGCAGCCGCGGUAAUACGGAGGGUGCGAGCGUUAAUCGGAAUUACUGGGCGUAAAGCGCGCGUAGGUGGCUUGAUAAGCCGGUUGUGAAAGCCCCGGGCUCAACCUGGGAACGGCAUCCGGAACUGUCAAGCUAGAGUGCAGGAGAGGAAGGUAGAAUUCCCGGUGUAGCGGUGAAAUGCGUAGAGAUCGGGAGGAAUACCAGUGGCGAAGGCGGCCUUCUGGACUGACACUGACACUGAGGUGCGAAAGCGUGGGUAGCAAACAGGAUUAGAUACCCCAGUAGUC